UGGGGAAUAUUGGACAAUGGGCGAAAGCCUGAUCCAGCCAUGCCGCGUGUGUGAAGAAGGUCUUCGGAUUGUAAAGCACUUUAAGUUGGGAGGAAGGGCAUUAACCUAAUACGUUAGUGUUUUGACGUUACCGACAGAAUAAGCACCGGCUAACUCUGUGCCAGCAGCCGCGGUAAUACAGAGGGUGCAAGCGUUAAUCGGAAUUACUGGGCGUAAAGCGCGCGUAGGUGGUUUGUUAAGUUGGAUGUGAAAUCCCCGGGCUCAACCUGGGAACUGCAUUCAAAACUGACUGACUAGAGUAUGGUAGAGGGUGGUGGAAUU
rnacentral:rRNA from 1 species